GCCCAAGCUCUCCUGCGGUGAGGAACGGAGCGUCGAGUAAAGCAGGAUAGUCGGCCGGCCGUUCUCAGAGGUCUGCCGGCGAAAAUUUCCUGAGAUAGUUCCGUCAGCAUCCUGCGCCUUGGGAGGUCUGCGGAACGAACCUGAAAACAGGCGCUACGCGCGUAGAUGUGUACGUGGAAGACUUCCGGACGGGGGUUCGACUCCCCCCGCCUCCACCA
rnacentral:tmRNA from 1 species